rnacentral:misc_RNA from 1 species
GUGACCUCUCCAUUACCAGAGCCGUGUAGCAUUUUGCUGGCAUUUACCAAAUUAAGAAGGGAGGCUCACAAAGGAAAACGCCAGUGAAUGGCCGGCAGGAUAGUAACGCGGGGGAAAGAAAAGACGAAGCAACCCCCUGUUCCGUUCCCUCAACGACGACCUUCGUUCUAAAGGAGAAAAGAUAGCCCCCAUUAGAAUAUUGUAUUACCACCAUACGACGAUGGUGCAAGAGAUUCGUGCUUUGUUUGCU